rnacentral:tRNA from 2 species
GGCUCAGUGGUCUAGUGGUAUGAUUCUCGCUUUGGGUGCGAGAGGCCAUGGGUUCGAUUCCCGUCUGAGCCU